rnacentral:rRNA from 1 species
AGCGUACACGGUGGAUGCCCUGGCAGUCAGAGGCGAUGAAGGACGUGCUAAUCUGCGAAAAGCGUCGGUAAGGUGAUAUGAACCGUUAUAACCGGCGAUGUCCGAAUGGGGAAACCCAGUGUGAUUCGUCACACUAUCGUUAACUGAAUACAUAGGUUAACGAGGCGAACCGGGGGAACUGAAACAUCUAAGUACCCCGAGGAAAAGAAAUCAACCGAGAUUCCCCCAGUAGCGGCGAGCGAACGGGGAGCAGCCCAGAGUCUGAAUCAGCUUGUGUGUUAGUGGAACGGUCUGGAAAGUCCGACGGUACAGGGUGAUAGUCCCGUACACCAAAAUGCACAGGUUGUGAACUCGAAGAGUAGGGCGGGACACGUGGUAUCCUGUCUGAAUAUGGGGGGACCAUCCUCCAAGGCUAAAUACUCCUGACUGACCGAUAGUGAACCAGUACCGUGAGGGAAAGGCGAAAAGAACCCCGGCGAGGGGAGUGAAAAAGAACCUGAAACCGUGUACGUACAAGCAGUGGGAGCACCUUCGGGUGUGACUGCGUACCUUUUGUAUAAUGGGUCAGCGACUUAUAUUCUGUAGCAAGGUUAACCGUAUAGGGGAGCCGCAGGGAAACCGAGUCUUAACUGGGCGUUAAGUUGCAGGGUAUAGACCCGAAACCCGGUGAUCUAGCCAUGGGCAGGUUGAAGGUUGGGUAACACUAACUGGAGGACCGAACCGACUAAUGUUGAAAAAUUAGCGGAUGACUUGUGGCUGGGGGUGAAAGGCCAAUCAAACCGGGAGAUAGCUGGUUCUCCCCGAAAGCUAUUUAGGUAGCGCCUCGUGAAUUCAUCUUCGGGGGUAGAGCACUGUUUCGGCUAGGGGGUCAUCCCGACUUACCAACCCGAUGCAAACUACGAAUACCGAAGAAUGUUAUCACGGGAGACACACGGCGGGUGCUAACGUCCGUCGUGAAGAGGGAAACAACCCAGACCGCCAGCUAAGGUCCCAAAGUCACAGUUAAGUGGGAAACGAUGUGGGAAGGCACAGACAGCCAGGAUGUUGGCUUAGAAGCAGCCAUCAUUUAAAGAAAGCGUAAUAGCUCACUGGUCGAGUCGGCCUGCGCGGAAGAUGUAACGGGGCUAAACUGUGCACCGAAGCUGCGGCAGCGACACUAUGUGUUGUUGGGUAGGGGAGCGUUCUGUAAGCCUGCGAAGGUGGCCUGUGAGGGUUGCUGGAGGUAUCAGAAGUGCGAAUGCUGACAUAAGUAACGAUAAUGCGGGUGAAAAGCCCGCACGCCGGAAGACCAAGGGUUCCUGUCCAACGUUAAUCGGGGCAGGGUGAGUCGACCCCUAAGGCGAGGCCGAAAGGCGUAGUCGAUGGGAAACAGGUUAAUAUUCCUGUACUUGGUGUUACUGCGAAGGGGGGACGGAGAAGGCUAUGUUAGCCGGGCGACGGUUGUCCCGGUUUAAGCAUGUAGGCGGAGGUUCCAGGUAAAUCCGGUACCUUUUAACGCUGAGGUGUGAUGACGAGGCACUACGGUGCUGAAGUAACAAAUGCCCUGCUUCCAGGAAAAGCCUCUAAGCAUCAGGUAACAUUGAAUCGUACCCCAAACCGACACAGGUGGUCAGGUAGAGAAUACCAAGGCGCUUGAGAGAACUCGGGUGAAGGAACUAGGCAAAAUGGUGCCGUAACUUCGGGAGAAGGCACGCUGAUAUGUAGGUGAAGCCCCUGCGGGUGGAGCUGAAAUCAGUCGAAGAUACCAGCUGGCUGCAACUGUUUAUUAAAAACACAGCACUGUGCAAACACGAAAGUGGACGUAUACGGUGUGACGCCUGCCCGGUGCCGGAAGGUUAAUUGAUGGGGUUAUCCGUAAGGAGAAGCUCUUGAUCGAAGCCCCGGUAAACGGCGGCCGUAACUAUAACGGUCCUAAGGUAGCGAAAUUCCUUGUCGGGUAAGUUCCGACCUGCACGAAUGGCGUAAUGAUGGCCAGGCUGUCUCCACCCGAGACUCAGUGAAAUUGAACUCGCUGUGAAGAUGCAGUGUACCCGCGGCAAGACGGAAAGACCCCGUGAACCUUUACUAUAGCUUGACACUGAACAUUGAGCCUUGAUGUGUAGGAUAGGUGGGAGGCUUUGAAGCGUGGACGCCAGUCUGCGUGGAGCCAACCUUGAAAUACCACCCUUUAAUGUUUGAUGUUCUAACGUUGGCCCCUAAUCGGGGUUGCGGACAGUGUCUGGUGGGUAGUUUGACUGGGGCGGUCUCCUCCCAAAGAGUAACGGAGGAGCACGAAGGUUAGCUAAUCCUGGUCGGACAUCAGGAGGUUAGUGCAAUGGCAUAAGCUAGCUUGACUGCGAGCGUGACGGCGCGAGCAGGUGCGAAAGCAGGUCAUAGUGAUCCGGUGGUUCUGAAUGGAAGGGCCAUCGCUCAACGGAUAAAAGGUACUCCGGGGAUAACAGGCUGAUACCGCCCAAGAGUUCAUAUCGACGGCGGUGUUUGGCACCUCGAUGUCGGCUCAUCACAUCCUGGGGCUGAAGUAGGUCCCAAGGGUAUGGCUGUUCGCCAUUUAAAGUGGUACGCGAGCUGGGUUUAGAACGUCGUGAGACAGUUCGGUCCCUAUCUGCCGUGGGCGCUGGAGAAUUGAGGGGGGCUGCUCCUAGUACGAGAGGACCGGAGUGGACGCAUCACUGGUGUUCGGGUUGUCAUGCCAAUGGCAUUGCCCGGUAGCUAAAUGCGGAAGAGAUAAGUGCUGAAAGCAUCUAAGCACGAAACUUGCCCCGAGAUGAGUUCU